CUUUCUUUCCUUCUUCCUUUGGGGCAGAGCACGAAAUUAAGUGCAGAUUAUCAGCAGAUUAUAUUUUAAUAGCAUUUCAAGCUGUUGCCUUUCACGUCGCCAAAACCAGGACGACGAGGGACGCACGCCGCAACCCCACCUCAACCAAAAAAAGCAAAAAAAAAUUGUAGGACGUAAGAGUGAGUCGUGCAACAACAAUAAAAACAACAUUGUGCGUGGUAACAACAACAACAAACUACUGCCAAGGCAUGCGCCCGUGUAUCAUUGUGUAUCCUUGAGUGUGUGUGUGUUUGUGAAAGUGCGGCUUAUUACAUGAUUACCCCUAGAUUUUUCCGACGCUAAGUCUCAUGGCAUAUAUCUAGGCCCAGCCUAACGUACGUGCGCAACAAAAUUGAAAUUAAACCUAAAAUAAAGUGUCGUUCGGCCACAGAAUACGAGCGUAUUAUAUAUAUUACGUAUACGACCCGAGAGCAGCAACAGAGUCCACAAAGGGCAUAGUGUCGAACGGUUGUUCAACUCGGCUCUCAGUUUGACUCCGCUGGACUGAAGUGAACAGAACUGGACUGCUAAACUAUACAGG